UUGCUGUCUUCGUAGGGGCGUGUGUGUACUUCACAGUUUGGGGUGCUACCUAAGAGUGCAGCCACCCCUGGCUCUGCCCACGGUUGUCAUGGUAACAUCAUCCAUACUCACCAUUGGCCCAGCAGUUUCGGCCAGAUUUCACAGAGACAAGAAAUGGGACAUGUAAAGUGUACUAAAAUAAAAGAUCCUUGCUAUCUUUUAUAUUUCACAGACAAAACUUAACGUCUGUGUAACAGAAGAAUUUCUGAACUGGACCCUCGUGCCUAAUGAAGUGUCCAGUGAGUGGAAAGAGCCAUAACUACUCAAGAGUCUGUGAAUACCAAUCUCCUUCUUCAACUGGACUCUAAAAUGGUGGCAUUGUGAGGUAGGAAGGACAAAGAAACACAAUGAGCGGUGGCUUAAUAAACGUGCCAGCAACCUGUCAUCAGCUUAAGUGCGCGCAUUCUUUCCCGCACAUGUGGUGUUUUGAUUACUGCUUUCACACAAAGCCAGCAGGACUUCCUGCAGGAAGAAAACAACGGAAGGAGACUGAAGAUCAACAACCGUGUCGCUGGUAAACAGAUGAAAUCGUGAUUGGGGAAAGAGGAGGGAAAAGAUCAAGGUUUUAUUGCCGGGCCGUCCCACUGCUGUUGAGUACAAAUGCAGCAGAGUAGAGCUGAGACGGCAUUCCACCCCUCUGACGACUGAGCUCACACACACACGCACACACACAUGCCUACACAAACACACACACAGUUCCAUGCGCCCACGUCACACACUCAUCAUACCGCUCUCUUGAGGAAGCUCAGACUAGUAUAAGGAGAUGCUGGCGGCUGGCAGACAAACAGCAGCCUUCAGUAUAUACCGCUGAUCUAGGCGGACACAUCGCACCUUCAAUUCAAGAGAGUCCAACAUAUUCUCUCUGCUCUGAGGAGGAAGACAAGCCAAAGGAUAGCAGGGCUUUACCUGAUCCUUGC